UAUAUUCCCCGUCCGGGAGGGUGAGACCCUCGACAGGGUUCGACAAAACGCAACGCGUUUUGCACAGCCGUCAGGCUGCCCGCAGGGUGAGCGCAGCGAAUACAUCCCUCCCUCACCGCCA
rnacentral:sRNA from 1 species